rnacentral:rRNA from 1 species
AGCGAAAUAAUAGUAGCGAAGUUCCUGAUGUCACACUGCCAAGAAAAGCUUCUAGUGAGAAAACAACUGCCCGUACCGUAAACCGACACAGGUAGUCGAGGAGAGUAUCCUAAGGUGAGCGAGCGAACUCUCGUUAAGGAACUCGGCAAAAUGACCCCGUAACUUCGGGAGAAGGGGUGCUGACUUCGGUCAGCCGCAGUGAAUAGGCCCAAGCGACUGUUUAUCAAAAACACAGGUCUCUGCAAAAUCGUAAGAUGAAGUAUAGGGGCUGACGCCUGCCCGGUGCUGGAAGGUUAAGAGGAUGGGUUAGCUUCGGCGAAGCUCAGAAUUGAAGCCCCAGUAAACGGCGGCCGUAACUAUAACGGUCCUAAGGUAGCGAAAUUCCUUGUCGGGUAAGUUCCGACCCGCACGAAAGGCGUAACGAUUUGGGCACUGUCUCAACGAGAGACUCGGUGAAAUUUUAGUACCUGUGAAGAUGCAGGUUACCCGCGACAGGACGGAAAGACCCCAUGGAGCUUUACUGUAGUUUGAUAUUGAGUGUUUGUACCACAUGUACAGGAUAGGUAGGAGCCGAUGAGACCGGAACGCUAGUUUCGGAGGAGGCGCUGGUGG